UCAAAAUCAGGCCUCCAACAGCUUUAAACAACAAUGUCAAAUGUUACUGACAGCUGGAUUUGGGCAUCUGAUCCCAAACAGCAUCUUACUCUCUGUUCCUUUGCCCAUACACUUCACAGGAUCAAGGUUACAUUAAUCUGCAAACUGCACAGUGAGCUUUUGGUAGGAAAUGCAUUGUGCAGGAAUGUCUCACUAAAAUUUUGCACUAACACAGUAAAGCAGAAGCUUAGUUAUGUGACAUGACCAUAAACACCUUGAGCAUCACAUGGACAUACACAGCAUUGCUGUGGUCACUCACCUCAGCAGUACUCAUUGUUCAAAUUCCACAUAUGGGAUAGGAAUAGAACUUUUUCCUAUUUUGUCCAUGUCAUACUCCUAAUUCUACCUAUCUUUCCAUUUCAGGGCAGUUUUCAGGAUGCUGGGUUUUGUUAAUACCUGUGAAAACUGCUAUUUCUAGAAAACCCUGUAUAUGGAAUUAUGACAUCUCCAUAAUUCCUGUCAAAUCAUGUUAACUCCUGACUCUGGAAGAAAUUGGAAAUGACCAGCUACCUGCUGGGGCAGAGAUGAACAUUUAUCUGUGUUUCUGAUCACAGAUAAAUGCCAAUUCAUUCAAUAUUAAAAACAGAAUAAGAUGCCAGAAAAUCUUUUGAAAAUUGAAACCCUUUAAGAAAAGUGGAAGUAAUUAAGGCCUGCAAUUUUCAGCCAGUUGAAGCAGAAUUCUCUGAAGUGGAGGCUGCUCAUAAUCUGCAGCUGCAAAGACCCUUAUCAUUUCUAUUUAUUUUAUCAGAAAAUUUAGAAAACCUUUCUCUCUGCAUAUAAACUUCUUCCACUGAACUUAUUUAAAUUGAUGGGACUGAUGUAUCACAAAACAGUGUAAGACUAAGAUGCAUAUCAGCUUAGUUUGAUGCUCAGCCAUCAGUAAAUGCCUGCAAACAGUUCUGAUUUUCAAUUCUAACCACAGCUCAUUUGAGAAUUGUAACACGUUUUAGUGAAACAAACAGAUUUAUCCAGUCGGGUCUUGAAACAGCCUGGAGAUUGCACAAUCCCUGCUCUGGGGAUGUGAAGCAAAGGGGAAUAAUCCCUUCCCUUGAUUCACCAGCUGUGCUCCUGUUACUGCAGCGUGGGAUGCUGCUGCUCCCUUGCUGCCAGGGCACAGCACUGACCCAGGGCUCAGCCCUUUCCAGCAGAGCUCCUCUCGAGACACUUCUCCCUUUAACUAAUAUCUGGUCCAGCAGAAGUAGCCAGAACUGCUGGCCAUAAGCUGAAAUUGCCACUCUUAGAACCUAACUUAGAACUAAAAGUGGAAUAAUUUUGCUCUUUGAUUACAGUUUUAAAGCGAUUUUUUCUCCCUUUUGAAUAGCACUUAUACUUUCAGUGUCCCAGAACAAGGGUUGGUUCUCUGCACACCAAAGAAAUAUCAAAACUGUGGGAAACCUUUCUGAAUGAUUAGUAACAUCAGUACUUCCAGUAAAUUAAGCAUAAGAAGCUACAAAGUAAAUGCAUAAAGAUUAAAUACUGCCUUUUUUUUUUUUUUUUUUUUUUGAGAGGUAUAGCACAAACUACGGGAAACAGCUAAAGGAAGAGUAAAAUAAUUUGGGAAAUAGCUGCUGACACGGGAUAACUGCAUUAAAGUAUCUCAUAGCAUGAACUUGCCUUGGCUUCCAGUGUGUAAGAAAAUAGAUUGUGUAAGAACAUACAUUGUGCUAGCUUACCUUUACAAUGUGAACCCUCCUUCCUCCACCUCUUCCUGUUCUCAGACAACAGGGUAGGGUGGUUGCUGUCUCACAUUUUCCCCCAGGCUUACCUACUUUUGUCCUUUACAGGGUCUCAGCAGUUGCCACAGCCUAAUACUAAAGGGGGAGCAGGAGGAGGAACAGGACAGAGACAGAUGAGACCAAAUAAAAGCCCAACCCACAACACAUGUGUUGCUCCACCCCAACAUGCUGCUUACAGCUCAAACUGGUUUCCAGAAAUUGCUGCCAAACUAGUUCUUGAGCUAUCAGAAACUUUCAUCUAGUGCCUUGAAAAUACUGGAUGUGCCGUGACUAUUUCCCCUCUGUUUACUUUUCCCAUUUACUGUCCAAGAUUUCAUUAUUCCCCAGAACACACAACAAAGGAAGAGACCCAAGGUCUGCUCCUCCCUCCACCCCUGAAGCAGCUCAAUACCUGAUCAAUACACACACACACUUCAGCACCAGGAGACAAGGACACCAUAUUUCUCUAAAGGCAUCAGUUAUUCCUCGAGCCAUCCACUCUGUCACAGGCAGCAGAGCUAUGGAAGUUGUUUCCUACCUGCUGGAUAAACAUGCACCAAACGUUCUGAUCAAACACUGCUGGUGCACUGGGGUGGGGCAACUACUCCUACUCUGGGGGCAACCACCUACAUUCAUCUGAGGAAAGCUCUGAAAACAUAAUGCAAUUGGGAGCACACAGCUGUGAAAUUCCUGCAUAAUCACUGGAACAGAUCACACGUAAUAAAGAGCUGUUCCAGUUCAAGCCAUCAACAGACUAGGAAAGAAAAAUAAGAGAAAGAAAGGGCAAGCCCUGAAAAGGCUCGACCAUCAGCAAGAUUUUGCCUCCCCUUCUAAACUUUUUAUUCUAAUCCAUUUCAGCAAAGCUUUUCAUUAUUCUCCAUUCUGCCAACAGCUUUAGCUACAGAAAAGAGUUUUGGCCUUGGGGAGGCACGUUCAUAUUAAAACCAAGGCAUUACCCCUCAUGUCAGGUGGACUUUUCUUUCCUGCUAGAAAGCCCCCUGCAGAGGUUCAGGCUGCUCAGAGGACGGGCACUGGCAUUACUCAUGUGCAGACAGGUUGGUGAAAACAGGUGGGACAGACCCAUCUCCAGCAGUGGCCAAAAGAGAGGGCCCAAGUGAUGCAGACACUUGGAAUUUCACCAGUCCCUGCCCUCAGGCACCCACCUUCUCAAUGGAGGACAGCUCAGCAAAGAAAAGAAGAUAGAAGAAAAUAAGACACAUGGUUGAGGGGAAAGAAUCUGAGCAAUUCAAUUUUGCAAGCAGUCUGCAUAUGGAAACUUGAAUAUCCAAUUAAGUUUGGCAAUGGCACGGGGGUUUUACACAUAGCUGGAAUUAAUUCUUGUGCAUCUUCCUACAGAAUAUGAAGCAGCAGUGUAACUAAUUCAUGUCAGAUGGGAUACUACAGCAUUCCCUAAACAAGAGAUUCUGGUAUAAAGCCAACAUAUAACAAAAAUAAAAUUACUGCACAAGUUCAGUAGCAGCUAUAAGUGCUUAGAUGGCACUUACGUCCAUGAAUGAUUUUUUGCUGCUCUUCUUAAUUUAAAAGGACAUGAAACUCAUCCAAAACAGUAACUGGUGGUGUUCUCUAAAACCAGUUGAACUUACCAUGUUAAAAAAACGCAUCUAUUUUAAAAGAUAAGACUUCUCACUGUACCCUUUAUUAUACCUUAUAAAGGUAUACAAAGCAGUGCAGUACUAAGAUGACUGUGUGUUCUUCUGAGGGCUACAGAGCCCUCAGCUGGCAUCUGCACACACCUGGGAUUGAUUUUAGUGAGCUUUUCCCUUAAUCCAAAGUUCCUGAAAAGGAGGAAUCCCUAACAUCUUACCCCACCCCUCCACUUGUCUUGAUUGCUCCUAGAUACAUUUGUUUGCAGGAAAGUACUGCAGCCAUGUGAACUGUGACUCUUCAGUUUAUUCUUUUCAUUUACUAACUUGCUUUCUAAUACAUUAAAAGCUGCCCCUGGUAUGAAAAAAAAGAAGUGUCCCCAAAAGGGUUUCAUUCACUUUUCAGGCCAACUAAAUCCUUACUCUGUGCUGAAAAUGACAGCCAGAACAACCAAAAUCAUCACCACAGGUACUCUUUUUUUUCCUUCCUUUUUAAAUAGGUAACCAACAACUUAUUUUCCCACUGAAAGUUACACAAAGGCUAUAUAUCAAAUUUGAAAGCUCCUCAAAAUUUCAAGGUCGAUGAAAGCCAGAUUCUAGAGGGAGACAACAUGGGUAAAAAAAAAUAUCAAUACACAUGAUAUUUUAAUACAAAAUAUUAGCUUUUUUCUUUUUUUUUUACACAAGUCAGUUUUUUUUUAAAAUAUAGAACCUUAGAAAAUGAACAAAUUGCUAUCCACACACUAUAAACACUUGUUUGUGCUCAGUUUGAUCAAGUUAUCAGAACAAUUGAAACACCAGUCCAUAGUUUAAACACUGCCUUGAAGUUGAAUGAGAGCUAUGCCGCACUGUGCGCUACCAUUAUUGUAUGGACAGUGUGAAGCGCCUUCGGUCAGGUUUAAGAGUAGGAAAAACUGUUCAGUUAUCAGGUUCUUUGUGCAAGGAUUUCACCUUCUACUCGUGCUCCUGACAGAUCUGUAUUACAUUGCAGUGGCACUGGUAUGAGCAACCACAUGUAAUUCUGUGAAUGUUCACUGGAAGAAUGUCCGUUACAUGUUCUGGAAGUACAAGUUCUUCAGCUAGACAAAAGAAAACUUGUUAGUUUAGGGGAAACACUAGCCUGAUUAGCCAGGAUUUAACAAUGUCUAAGCACUGAAAUGAAUUUUGAUUUCUCAAAGUUGAAUAAAAGUCAUUAACUAUCACAUUUUCAUAGAGAUUAACUGUGUAGCAGGUACAUCUCAGGAAUAUUUGUAAUUGCCCGUUUUUUGAACCCAUAGAAAGGAAAAAAUUUCCCUCUGAGUUGGAGGUCUUUAAAAGGUCUUGUUUUAGUAGUAAAUCAUCCACAAGUUGCAGGUUGUUAGCCAAGUAGAUUUAGGAUGAUUUACUUGCAUUACAGUAAUUUACACAAUUGAGCUUUAGGCAUACAGUACAAAACUAUGAACAAAAAGGUGAAGCAAACUUUUUUAUUUAUAUUCAGGUAAAAACAUUAACCUGAUGAAGUAAAUUAUUGCAGAUUUGAGAAAUCAGCACAUAAAACAGUUGGACAGAGCAUUGCUUACAGGUGCUUUAUCUGUGUCAAAAGACAAAGGCUGAACUGCUUGUUCCAAGCUAGCACUGGGGGGGAAGAAAAAAAAAAAGAAAAAAAAAAGAAAAAACUACAAAAUUAAUCAUGAACUUAGAUCAAGAACAAGAAAACUGUUUACUCAAACAGGGAA